CUAAGUAUAAGCAAUUAUACAGCGAAACUGCGAAUGGCUCAUUAUAUAAGUUAUCGUUUAUUUGAUAGUACCUUACUACUUGGAUAACCGUGGUAAUUCUAGAGCUAAUACAUGCUAAAAAUCCCGACUUCGGAAGGGAUGUAUUUAUUAGAUUAAAAACCAAUGCCCUCCGGGGCUCACUGGUGAUUCAUGAUAACUCCUCGAAUCGCAUGGCCUUGCGCCGGCGAUGGUUCAUUCAAAUUUCUUCCCUAUCAACUUUCGAUGUUUGGGUAUUGGCCAAACAUGGUUGCAACGGGUAACGGAGGGUUAGGGCUCGACCCCGGAGAAGGAGCCUGAGAAACGGCUACUACAUCCAAGGAAGGCAGCAGGCGCGCAAAUUACCCAAUCCCGACUCGGGGAGGUAGUGACAAUAAAUACUGAUACAGGGCUCUUUUGGGUCUUGUAAUUGGAAUGAGUACAAUUUAAAUCCCUUAACGAGGAACAAUUGGAGGGCAAGUCUGGUGCCAGCAGCCGCGGUAAUUCCAGCUCCAAUAGCGUAUAUUAAAGUUGUUGUGGUUAAAAAGCUCGUAGUUGAACCUUGGGCCUGGCUGGCCGGUCCGCCUCACCGCGUGUACUGGUCCGGCCGGGCCUUUCCCUCUGUGGAACCCCAUGCCCUUCACUGGGUGUGGCGGGGAAACAGGACUUUUACUGUGAAAAAAUUAGAGUGCUCCAGGCAGGCCUAUGCUCGAAUACAUUAGCAUGGAAUAAUAGAAUAGGACGUGUGGUUCUAUUUUGUUGGUUUCUAGGACCGCCGUAAUGAUUAAUAGGGACAGUCGGGGGCAUCAGUAUUCAAUUGUCAGAGGUGAA
rnacentral:rRNA from 1 species